CUCCCACCCACCCACCCCGCUCCAACUCACCUUUUAUUUACUUUCGUUCAAACGCCCGUGUCCCGCGACUGGACUAGGCGCUCACGCAAACAACAACAACAACAACAACAGGUUGUAGAAAAGGCCGGCGCGAGCCAAGCAUCCACCACCAAGUUGGGGAACCAUCGCAAGCAGGGAACAAAAAAGGGAACUUUCUAUUCUAUAAGCUAUUAAUACUUUAGCUUGAAACAAAUUAUCUGCCUAAGCUGUGUACCUGACAGUCAGACCACCGAAGAAGAACAAUAAAGUCCUCUGAUUUCGAUAGUCACAGGAACAAAGCACAAUAAGCUUCUCCUUAUUUUAUUUCCACAACAGAGUCCUGUGAGCUAGAUUAAUCUGAAUAGUCUCCCAAUAAAUUACAUGAAG